GAUGAACGCUAGCUACAGGCUUAACACAUGCAAGUCGAGGGGAAACGACAUUGGAAGCUUGCUUCCUUUGGGCGUCGACCGGCGCACGGGUGAGUAACGCGUAUCCAACCUUCCGCAAGUAAGGGAUAACCCGUAGAAAUUGGUCUAAUACCGUAUGAGGUCAUACGAUGGCAUCAGAAUAUGACGAAAGGUUUAGCGGUGAAGGAUGGGGAUGCGUCUGAUUAGCUUGUUGGUGAGGUAACGGCUCACCAAGGCGACGAUCAGUAGGGGUUCUGAGAGGAAGGUCCCCCACAUUGGAACUGAGACACGGUCCAAACUCCUACGGGAGGCAGCAGUGAGGAAUAUUGGUCAAUGGGCGAGAGCCUGAACCAGCCAAGUAGCGUGCAGGAUGACGGCCCUAUGGGUUGUAAACUGCUUUUAUAAGGGAAUAAAGUGGGUCACGUGUGACUUUUUGCAUGUACCUUAUGAAUAAGGACCGGCUAAUUCCGUG
rnacentral:rRNA from 1 species